UGUAGACGGGCCUUGGCUUCGGGCAGGCGCCAGGCGCGGGGAGAUGAAAGGCGGGCUCCGGGGGAAGGGGCUGCGCCGGGUGACCGGCUCCAGCCGCGCCGGGCGCCCCGCCUCCGCCCUGCCCCGCCCCCGCUGCCCGGGGCAGAGGCGGCUGCCCGCGCCGGAGCCGCGUUAAUUGCUCUCGGCCCCGGCACUCAGCCUGCGCGGAGCCGGGACAACUUCGCUCCAGGAGGAAUGACAAUUCGCCCUAAUGGGACAACCUAGCUCCCAGAAGAGUGACAAUUCCUCCUAAUGGGCGCUCGUUAGCGGCCUAUUCUACCCAGCCAGGGUAUCAGAAGCGGAGAGACACGCGGGCGCCAACAACAGCCAGGAAUUCCAAAAUACCGGUCACCGCCCCCCACCCCAGACAUUUGCUGUGUGACUUAGGCCAAAAGGCUGCUCCUCUCUGAGCUCAUUUUUUCUUACCGUUGUGUUGCGGAGUGGGAACGGGUCGGUCUCCUGGUGUUUAGAGAGAUCACUUUCCGAGUUACACAGCCGUGGAAGUCGGGUCCUGAAUCGGGACUGAUUCCUGAAGACCCCCGCCAAGCCCUCCACAGCCAAAGCCUGCGUUUUCUCCCCAUUCCACAGAUGAAGUCGUCCAGGCGCAGAGAGCAGUGAGGCUGGCCUGACUUCAGCAGUGCUCUCUCAUUUGAGAAAGGAGGGAAGUUUUGACUCAGCGGAUGGGAAGACUGGGAGGAAACCAGAUGGAUCAUUCAUUGUUAAUGACAAAAUUAGAGCCAAUGCUGUUGGUGUGGACAGUUGCAAAGAGGCUUAUGAAAAUUACACUGCCAAAAAUCCUCAGGGCCUUUUGGGCAGCACAAGAAAGCUUUGCCCAAGUGGUGGCACCAGCUUUUCCCAGGAAAAUGAUUUUGGAGAGUCUCGGGACAGGGUAUGAAGUAGCAUUUAAGCAUGAGACGACGAAGGGAUUUCAUUUUCAACGUCUCUUAAUCCUUCCACUUUACUCGGGAGACUGCCUCAGUACAACUUUAACACCACGAAAAUAAUCGCCAGUGUCCCUGGGGCCAAAGCACCCGGUUUCAACCUUCAGGAAACCACAGCACCAAGCCAGAAAAUAACCACACAGUGUUGCUUUCGCUUUACUCGUUUUCAGAGUUAACCUGGCUAAGGUUGUUAAGUAAUACCAUGGCAAAUUUCAGGUUACAAAUUAUUGAGUGUUAAAAUGAGAAUUUAUUUUAAGUUAAACAUUAACUAAAUAAUAGCACUGUUGGUCCUCGGAUAAAGCCCACAAUCAGAAUGAUUGUUCUUAAGAACAAUUGCAGAGGUGGAUGCCUGAAAUUGGGGUUAACACUGAUUUAGAGUAGCGACACUGCAUUGCCAACAGCACAGAAUCUGGGUGGAAUCCUGCCCCACCUCCUUCCAGAUGAGUGGCCUUGGGCAAGUUACUUCCCCUCUCUGAACCUUGGAUCCCUUAUCUAUAAAACUAUGAGGGUUGUGAUUAUUCUGACCUCCAAGGUUUGAAGGAAGAAUUUACUGUGGAGAUAAUAGAGGACCACAUUAUGAUGAUGAUGAUGGAGAUAAUAGAAGCCUCCACAUUUUCCUGGAUGCUUGGAGUUGUUAGUAUCAUUAGUAAACAGUGAAUUGGUGAAUUUGGUCAAAACACAAACUUAUUUACACUGAACCUAGUUAUCUACUAGCUGAGUAGUACUUGCAAAAGAGGGGAGGAAAACAUCACUAUAUCCUUUGUUUCACUGGCUCAUCUUUAGGGCCUGGAUAUGGAGACUGCCAUUCCCCUAGCAGGCAUUUUUACAUUAUCCAUAGAACAUCUAUACUGUGUGGUCAAAUUAAGAUACACCUAAACUGCAGGCCAGGCAUGGUGGCUCAUGCCUGUAAUCCCAGCACUUUGGGAGGCCAAGGUGGCAGUACCACUUGAGGCCAGGAUUUCAUUGAGACCAGCCUGAUCAAUGCAAUGAGACCUCCUCUUUACAAUAAAUAAAACAAUCAGCCAGGUGCGGUGGCAAGCGUCUGUGACCCCAGGACUUUGGAGGCUGAGUGAAAGGAUCACUUGAGCCCAGAAGUUUGAGGCUAUAGUGAGCUAUGAUUGCACCACUCCCCUCCAGCCUGGGCAACAGAGAACUUGUCUCAACAAAAACCCCAAUGAACAAAAGGCCAGUUGCAGUGGGUCAUGCCUGUAAUCCCAACACUUCAGGAAGCCGAAGUGGGUGGAUCAUUUGAGACCAAGAGUUCAAGUACAGCCUGGAUAACACAGCAAAACCCCAUCUUUACAAAAAAUACAAAAACUAGCCAGGUGUGGUGGCACAUGCCUGUAGUCCAGCAGUUUGGGAGCCUGAGGCAUGAAAAUUGCUUGAACCCAGGAGGUGAAGGCUGCAAUGAGCCUAGAUAGUGCCACUGCACUCCAGCCUGGGUGACAAAGUGAGACUCUGUUGCUAAAACAAACAAAAACACAAAACACAAUACAUGUAAGUUGCAAACAAGAUGGAAAAACAUUUUUACUUUUACUUUUCAUAAAUGAUUAAACGCAUUGCCUGAUGGGCCCUUUUCCCCCUUUCUUUCAUCCUCCCUGCUGUUUCCCACAUUUCUUCCCUCCUUCCUUCAGUAUCUGUGUGCUGGGUUGGCGCUAAACCUAGAAUGCAAAGACUACCCAGACAGGUUCUUGCCCUAAACAGUCUUCCACUCCGGUGGAAAGACAGAUCUAUCAAGUACCCAGUUACCCAAUACCGAUGUUAAAAGACUGCUCCAGGCUGGGCGCGGUGGCUCACACCUGUAAUCCCAGCACUUUGGGAGGCUGAGGCGGGUGGAUCAUGAGGUAAGAGAUUGAGACCAUUCCCGGCUAACAUGGUGAAACCCCGUCUCUACUAAAAAUUACAAAACUUAGCUGGGUGUGGUGGCUCACGCCUGUAGUCCCAGCUACUCGGGAGGCUGAGGCAAAAGAAUUGCUUGAACCCAGGAGGUGGAGGUUGCAGUGAGCUGAGAUCACGCCACUGCACUCCAGCCUGGUGACAGAGCGAGACUCCGUCAAAAAAAUAAAUAAAUAAUGACUGCUCCAAUGCCAGACUUAUGUCGCAGAAUUCGUUUCUUUCUUGCUCACCUGAAGAGAGUUUAUUGAACAUUUCAAUAAGUUGCCAACAGUUAAA